rnacentral:rRNA from 1 species
AUGAGGCAUCAUCAGCUCCGCGCCCUCGCCCGCGACACCAGGUCCUGCUUCGCCUCCAGUCCAGUCAUGCUACCCCCGCUCCACGGCGUCGUCUGCGUCGAUCUGAAGCCCACGCAGGGUGGCGACAAGUUGGGGAUGGACAAAAACGGACGAGGAGGUCGAGCAGUCCGUGGUGUUGCCGUAGUCGACCUCAUCCCUCAUGCACGGCGCUGGAGAGACGAUCCAUUCAAGCUCAAGGCUUUCGACAGACUAGUCAGGCCUGUUUGCAGGACAACAUCUAUAACACAGAGAGUCAAUCCAUCGUGCAAGAUUUUGUUCGUCUGCAAAGAGCAGUUAAUCCGUAUCAGGGACACGAAGUUUAUAUUGCAUCAUCUGUGGUUACUGCACCGGUUGCUCCCUAGUCCAGGCGAUGAAAUUAUUCAUCUGUCAUCUCACCAGGAAGAGAUGUUCCACGAGAUGGCCCGGUGGUCCUUUGAGCCAACAAAUUUGGGUCAUGAGCCACAAGAACUCAAGAAAGGCAUCAUACAUUCCUUCUGCAAGACAUUGACAACUUCAGAUACGAGUGUCCGUGGUGGUUUCUCUGUUCUUAGGAGACAUGCUGAAGAGUGUCUUCCUCCGCCGUUUAGGACGAAUCCAACACCCAGCGAGGUUGGGCCGCACAAGCGGGCUUGCGGAGAAAUGAAGAUGGAGGGAGGAUGGCGACAGGCGAGGAUGGCGACGUUCGGGCUGUCCUGA